rnacentral:rRNA from 1 species
UGGGGAAUAUUGGACAAUGGGCGAAAGCCUGAUCCAGCCAUGCCGCGUGUGUGAAGAAGGUCUUCGGAUUGUAAAGCACUUUAAGUUGGGAGGAAGGGUUGUAGAUUAAUACUCUGCAAUUUUGACGUUACCGACAGAAUAAGCACCGGCUAACUUCGUGCCAGCAGCCGCGGUAAUACGAAGGGUGCAAGCGUUAAUCGGAAUUACUGGGCGUAAAGCGCGCGUAGGUGGUUUGUUAAGUUGGAAGUGAAAGCCCCGGGCUCAACCUGGGAACUGCUUUCAAAACUGGCAAGCUAGAGUAUGGCAGAGGGUGGUGGAAUUUCCUGUGUAGCGGUGAAAUGCGUAGAUAUAGGAAGGAACACCAGUGGCGAAGGCGACCACCUGGGCUAAUACUGACACUGAGGUGCGAAAGCGUGGGGAGCAAACAGG